rnacentral:rRNA from 1 species
GUGAACGCUGGCGGUAGGCCUAACACAUGCAAGUCGAACGGCAGCACAGUAAGAGCUUGCUCUUACGGGUGGCGAGUGGCGGACGGGUGAGGAAUACAUCGGAAUCUACUUUUUCGUGGGGGAUAACGUAGGGAAACUUACGCUAAUACCGCAUACGACCUACGGGUGAAAGCAGGGGAUCUUCGGACCUUGCGCGAUUGAAUGAGCCGGUGUCGGAUUAGCUAGUUGGCGGGGUAAAGGCCCACCAAGGCGACGAUCCGUAGCUGGUCUGAGAGGAUGAUCAGCCACACUGGAACUGAGACACGGUCCAGACUCCUACGGGAGGCAGCAGUGGGGAAUAUUGGACAAUGGGCGCAAGCCUGAUCCAGCCAUACCGCGUGGGUGAAGAAGGCCUUCGGGUUGUAAAGCCCUUUUGUUGGGAAAGAAAAGCAGCAGGUUAAUACCCCGCUGUUCUGACGGUACCCAAAGAAUAAGCACCGGCUAACUUCGUG